rnacentral:rRNA from 1 species
AUUGAACGCUGGCGGCAGGCCUAACACAUGCAAGUCGAACGAGUGGCGGACGGGUGAGUAAUGUCUGGGAAACUGCCUGAUGGAGGGGGAUAACUACUGGAAACGGUAGCUAAUACCGCAUACCAUCGGAUGUGCCCAGAUGGGAUUAGCUAGUAGGUGGGGUAACGGCUCACCUAGGCGACGAUCCCUAGCUGGUCUGAGAGGAUGACCGGCCACACUGGAACUGAGACGCGGUCCAGACUCGUACGGUACGCAGCAGUGGGGAAUAUUGCGCAAUGGGCGCAAGCCUGAUGCUGCCAUGCGCCGUGUAUGAAGAUGGCCUUCGGGUUGUAAAGUACUUUCAGCGGGGAGUCGUUACCCGCAGAAGCAGCACCGGCUAGCUCCGUUCCAGCAGCCGCGGUGUUAC